CCUACGGGUGGCAGCAGUAGGGAAUAUUGCUCAAUGGGGGAAACCCGGAAGCAGCAACGCCGCGUGGAGGAUGAAGGUUUUCGGAUUGUAAACUCCUUUUGUUAGAGAAGAUAAUGACGGUAUCUAACGAAUAAGAACCGGCUAACUCCGUGCCAGCAGCCGCGGUAAUACGGAGGGUGCAAGCGUUACUCGGAAUCACUGGGCGGAAAGAGCGCGUAGGCGGGAUAGCAAGUCAGAUGUGAAAUCCUAUGGCUUAACCAUAGAACUGCAUUGGAAAAUGUUAUUCUAGAGUAUGGGAGAGGUCGGUGGAAUUCUUGGUGUAGGGGUAAAAUCCGUAGAGAUCAAGAGGAAUACUCAUUGCGAAGGCGACCUGCUAGAACAUAACUGACGCUGAUGCGCGAAAGCGUGGGGAGCAAACAGGAUUAGAUACCCCGGUAGUC
rnacentral:rRNA from 1 species